UACAGAGGCCCCAAGCGUUACCCGGAAUUACUGGGCGUAAAGAGUGCGUAGGUGGUCGUGUUAGUCGUUUGUUAAAUCCCGGGGCUCAACUCCGGAGAUGCGGACGAAACGGCACGACUAGAGGGAGUGAGAGGUAUAUGGAACUCAUGGUGUAGGGGUGAAAUCCGUUGAUAUCAUGGGGAACACCGAAAGCGAAGGCAAUAUACUGGCACUUUCCUGACACUCAAGCACGAAAGCGUGGGUAG
rnacentral:rRNA from 1 species